GCAAUUCCUCCUUAGGGUCAGAGAUCGCAGCAUCUGAGGGCCUCUUCAAAAGAAGACGUAGUUGAUGAAGGCGUUCUGGAGCAGGACCAGAAAGACCACGACCAAGCAGCCUUGAGAUCUUAGUCAGCGUCUCCCUCAGGUCCCUCUCUAUCUCCCCACACAUCCACCAACCACUGGAACACAUCUCCAAAGUUCUGCUGGGCCAGCUCAGCUUCCCCUCAGAAGAAGUGCCGCCACCUGCCAGAUGAAGGAGCCUUUUGAGAGGCAGCUGUCAUCGUGAUUGGACUGUAUUUUGGUCUGUUCCAAUCCAGCUUCAGCUCCAGAGACGGCAGGCGGGACGAGUCAACGGAGGCCGGGUGGACGAAGGCAUGCAGCUGAGUACAAUCCAGAAAACAACAGAGGAGGAGUGCAGCAGCCCAGAGCCAGAACAAACAGAGUAUGUCUCUUAGAAAACAUCAUAGUAUAGCCUUUGGUAUGAAAAAACGCCAUCAUAUACAUCGUAUAUUGUACAAAUAACAAGUCAAAGGAAAGAGACAUACAUUGUAGAAUUGUAGUAAUUGUGGGCUGACUGAUUUACUGAUUAUCAGUAUUUUAUUUUUUACUGAUUUACGGUAAUAAAUACAUUUAAAAAUGG